UCAUUCACUGAGAAGAGGUUCACAAGGACCUAUGACAUCACAAGAGUUGCACCUGCUGCUCAACCUGUUGACAGUCAGUCAUCCCCUGUGAAGCUGCAAGAGCCCUGCCCAAUGACUGAACCUCCGGCAGAAGAGACCACUGAUGUGCCCUGGGAGAAUUCAUCAGAAGGACGGAACAGUGCUCUGAUGCCGGCAGAAGAUGUGCCUGAAGUCGAUCCAUUGGUAGAGGGUAAUGCAGAAGAGCAAAGCACAACAGACCCCAGUGGUGAAAGGCAUGAAGUUGCUGAAAUGUUGGCAGAAGAAAAUGAUAAACACACUGAAAACCAUACUGAAACCUCAGAAACUGACAGACAAGCAGCUGAAGAAAGCAUGCGUAGGUCUGAACGGGUGCGACGACCCCCAGGUCGUUUCCAUUAUCCCAAACUUGGAAAACCUUUGAUUUCCUUUGCACAAACUAUUUUAGAAAGCUUUAACAGUGUUCUUAAUUCAAUCAAUGAUAGUGAUAAUUCGCCAGUGAUAAUCCAUAUCUAGUUAGCUGGCGCAUGCAGGGACGCAUGCUCAUUCAGGAGGGGAGUGUGUAGCCCAGCUAAAAAAAUCAGUCAUGCGCAUUGCGCAUGCGCAGGAAAUUCUCUUGUUCCGAGAACCGUUGAAGUUCAGCUGAAGUGCAAGCAGCGUGAACUUGAUAACUUGAUAACUUUGAAGGAUAACGAUAUAUAUUUUCCUUUCCUUUCCUUUUUCGUCUCACCCUGUCAUUUCACAAGCAGAGAGUGGAUUGAAUUCAUUUUUUAAUUAAGAAAAGAGCUUCGAUUGGUUUUAAGUUUGGAUUUAAGAAGACUCAGAAAAGAUGGCGAGCUUCCCACGGAGAUCUUUGCACCCCGCGCAUGGAGCAUCAAACCUGUGGUAGCCUGGCCAGCUACCAUAAGGUUUCUUCGACGACAGUUGAACAAGCACUUUGCAUCUUUGCGCGUGGACAGAUAAGUGCAAUCCUUUUCACACUGAGAAGGGAAUCCUUUGCAUACACGAACACAGGACUGUUGAUUGACUGAUUUUCCAUAUUGUUUUUCAUAUUGAUUUCCUGCAUUGUUUUUUUCCUGUUGAACAUACUGAAUUGGUACACUGUUUUUUAAGUGUAUAUUUGAUUACUGAAGUGUUUCAUAUAGGGUGCAUUUUCUUUUGCUACUUUAAUUCGUAUUGAAUGUACAUUUUGGUGCAUAUUUACAUGUUUUUGUUAUUUUCUUUUAUUUAAUUAUACAUUUACACACACUUAUUCAUACACUGACUGCAACAUAUUCAAAUUUCUACAUUAACAUUCCAAGGAAACUGUACAAAAUAAAGUGUUUACUAUUUGCAA